rnacentral:rRNA from 1 species
AUUGAACGCUGGCGGCAUGCUUUACACAUGCAAGUCGAACGGUAACAGGCCGCAAGGUGCUGACGAGUGGCGAACGGGUGAGUAAUGCAUCGGAACGUGCCCAGUCGUGGGGGAUAACGCAGCGAAAGCUGUGCUAAUACCGCAUACGAUCUAUGGAUGAAAGCGGGGGACCGUAAGGCCUCGCGCGAUUGGAGCGGCCGAUGUCAGAUUAGGUAGUUGGUGGGGUAAAGGCUCACCAAGCCAACGAUCUGUAGCUGGUCUGAGAGGACGACCAGCCACACUGGGACUGAGACACGGCCCAGACUCCUACGGGAGGCAGCAGUGGGGAAUUUUGGACAAUGGGCGCAAGCCUGAUCCAGCAAUGCCGCGUGCAGGAAGAAGGCCUUCGGGUUGUAAACUGCUUUUGUACGGAACGGAACGGCGAGCUCUAAUACAGUUUGCUAAUGACGGUACCGUAAGAAUAAGCACCGGCUAACUACGUGCCAGCCGCCGCCGUAA